GAUUCACUCCAUCACUUAAAACCUGAAAACAUUGGACCACACAGUCUUACUGAUUUCAGGUAAAAACAGUUAUUGAAGAUGUCCAGCAAAACAGCAAGCACCAACAACAUAGCCCAGGCAAGGAGAACCGUGCAGCAGUUAAGAUUAGAAGCCUCCAUUGAAAGAAUAAAGGUUUCAAAAGCAUCAGCGGACCUCAUGUCCUACUGUGAGGAACAUGCCAGGAGUGACCCUUUGCUGAUAGGGAUACCAACUUCAGAAAACCCUUUCAAGGAUAAAAAAACUUGCAUCAUCUUAUAGUGGAAUAGUGAAAUAGUUCCUCGCCUCUCCACAAAGCAAUGAUGAGCAGCUCCUUGAAGAGAUUUACCUUCAGCUUAUUUGGUAACCACUGCUAAUAACUAAAAUGCUCUUAGCUUGGAAUAAUGGACUCUGAAGUCUUUAUUUUCCAAGUUGCUCUUUCUCUAAAAUACCCUAUACAGAAUAACAGUCUUGUUUUCCAUGUGGUAACUAUGGUGUUAUAUUGGGUUACUGUUUAAGGAAAGUUGUUCUGGGCCUUUUUAAAAACACAAUUAAAUACUUUUGAUACACAGUUGAUUCAGUUGUGUCAAAACCUAAAUUGCCUAAGCACCCGCUAAAUCAAAAUGCCAAGAAUAACUCAAAUCCUGAAACCUUUGUAUCAUAACAUGUUCUUAGUAAGAUUGUGCCAACCUGUAUAGUAUACAAGGGGGAGAGGUGUUUUGUGUAUAUAUAUAUAUGUCUUUGCGUAUACACAUAUCAAAGCUAUUUUCUUAUGGAAACUUCCCUCUCGCUAUACCAUCAGUUUCUCAGU